rnacentral:rRNA from 1 species
GACGAACCGUGCGAACGUUGUUCGGAAUCACUGGGCUUAAAGGGCGCGUAGGCGGUCUGCCAAGUCCGGGGUGAAAGCCCCCAGCUCAACUGGGGAAGUGCCUUGGAUACUGGUGGACUCGAGCGAGGUAGGGGUUGUGGGAACUUCCGGUGGAGCGGUGAAAUGCGUUGAUAUCGGAAGGAACGCCGGUGGCGAAAGCGCACAACUGGACCUCUUCUGACGCUGAGGCGCGAAAGCCAGGGGAGCAAACGGG